rnacentral:rRNA from 1 species
GAUGAACGCUGGCGGCGUGCCUAAUACAUGCAAGUCGAGCGAACAGACGAGGAGCUUGCUCCUCUGACGUUAGCGGCGGACGGGUGAGUAACACGUGGAUAACCUACCUAUAAGACUGGGAUAACUUCGGGAAACCGGAGCUAAUACCGGAUAAUAUAUUGAACCGCAUGGUUCAAUAGUGAAAGACGGUUUUGCUGUCACUUAUAGAUGGAUCCGCGCCGCAUUAGCUAGUUGGUAAGGUAACGGCUUACCAAGGCGACGAUGCGUAGCCGACCUGAGAGGGGGAUCGGCCACACUGGAACUGAGACACGGUCCAGACUCCUACGGGAGGCAGCAGGAGGGAAUCUGCCGCAAUGGGCGAAAGCCUGACGGAGCAACGCCGCGGGAGUGAUGAAGGUCUUCGGAUCGUAAAACUCUGUUAUUAGGGAAGAACAAAUGUGUAAGUAACUAUGCACGUCUGGACGGUACCUAAUCAGAAAGCCACGGCUAACUACGU